rnacentral:rRNA from 1 species
GACGUAUGGGGCGAGCGUUGUUCGGAAUUAUUGGGCGUAAAGGGUAUGCAGGCGGUUUUCCAAGUCUGGUGUGUAAGACCUCAGCUUAACUGGGGGAGCGCGCUGGAAACUGGGAGACUAGAGUACAGGAAGGGGAGUUGGAAUUCCAGGUGUAGGGGUGAAAUCUGUAGAUAUCUGGAAGAACAUCAGUGGCGAAGGCGAACUCCUGGCCAUGUACUGACGCUGAGAUACGAAAGCGUGGGGAGCAAACAGG